GUGCACGCGGCUGCAGAGCGGGCCGCAGGGAGGCUGUGCGCUGCCCGUCAGGGCACGCAAUAAACAGGCUUCGCAGGGACUUCCUUUAUCUAAACUUUCAUUUACUAUUUUAAUUAGCCACUGACAGACACACUGAAUGAGCAAGCUCUGUCAAGGAAGUUCACGACGCAGAUCGUACCUUUUGAGUUCUGUAGAUUGAAGCCAGGUAGUGGGCCGGGUACAGGUGAGCAGGUGAGCAGGUGGAUAAAGGUGAGCAGGCGAGCAGGUGAGCAGGUGAGCAGGCAGGCAGCAUCCAAGGCAUUUAAUCCGUGUAAAUAAUUCCAUGCAAAGUAUCAAAUAAAAUGUAGGUCCAAAAAGGCGUUCUGAAGGGUAAAAGUGAGCACGUAAGGCUUAUGUGCAGCAGUCAAAGGCAAGGCUAAGCCAUAAAGAACUGUAGGCUACCAGCAUGUUCCAAACUUUUCUCUCUGGUCUGAGUGAGGUCAAAUCUCAGGGGCCAUCUUUAAAAGGUCAAAUGCCAAACCAGCCAUUUCAAAAUAGAAGUCUUGAAACCAAAUGAGGGUUUCUACAAUACAGUCUUACAAAAUGGUUUCCAAAAUAUCUAAAAGUAAUAAAUACUCAUAUAUGGCUCCUACAAGGCUCUGUGGGAUCUUAAAUUGCGCACCAAAUGAACUAACGUUACGUUUCAGUGAUGACUGGUAAUUACAGACCAGGCAGGCUUGGUGGAGGAGGACAGUAAAUCGGCCGUUAAGCAGCAGGAGGGACCUCCAUGUUAGUCCGCUACAUCCUCUGGCCUGCUGGCUGUCCCAUGAGCACCUCAUACACCCAGCUCCUCUCUCCUGCCCCCCUGUGGUGGAUCAGCCUUCUCCAAUCAGUCAGAAAUUCUCCAAUCAGUCACGAACUGCUUUCCACUACUGCUAAAAACAAAUCUUUUCAGACUACAAGAGAACAGGGAGAUUUUGUAAAAAAUAAAUAAAUAAAU